rnacentral:rRNA from 1 species
AAAGGAAUUGACGGGGGCCCGCACAAGCGGAGGAACAUGUGGUUUAAUUCGAUGAUACGCGAGGAACCUUACCCGGGCUUGAAAGUUAGCGACGGAUGCCGAAAGGUGUCUUCUCUUCGGAGCGCGAAACUAGGUGCUGCAUGGUUGUCGUCAGCUCGUGCCGUGAGGUGUCGGGUUAAGUCCCAUAACGAGCGCAACCCCUACCGUUAGUUGCCAUCAGGUCAUGCUGGGGACUCUAGCGGGACUGCCGGUGUAAGCCGAGAGGAAGGUGGGGAUGACGUCAAAUCAGCACGGCCCUUACGUCCGGGGCGACACACGUGUUACAAUGGUCGGUACAGAGGGCAGCUACCUGGUGACAGGGUGCGAAUCUCGAAAGCCGAUCUCAGUUCGGAUUGCAGGCUGAAACCCGCCUGCAUGAAGUUGGAUUCGCUAGUAAUCGCGCAUCAGCCAUGGCGCGGUGAAUACGUUCCCGGGCCUUGUACACACCGCCCGU